rnacentral:lncRNA from 10 species
AUUCCAGCUUCUACUUUUGUUGCUAUGCAGGUUGUUGUCGGGAUACCAGAUUUCCUACUCCGAGAGGCCCCGGGUCCCUCUGCCACAACUUCUGUCGCUCUGCCGCCUGCACCGUGACCCGCACUAUUCACGGGAGCCCUAGAGAGGACACCGGGACACCCAGAAGCCGGGAAAUGGCUGGAGUGAAGUGGCGCUCUCUCAGCUCACUGCAACCGCCGCUUCCCGAGUUCAAGCGAUUCUCCUGCCUCAGCCUCCCGAGUAGCUGGGAUUACAGGCACGCACACACCCGGCUAAUUUUUGUGUUUUUUAGUAGAGAGGGAGUUUCACCAUGUUGGCCAGACUGGUCUUGAACUCCUCACCUGAAGUGAUUGGCCUGCCUUGGCCUCCCAAAGUGCUGGGAUUACAGGCAUGAGCCACUACACACGGCUUGAGUACGGGUUUCUUCUGUUAUAAGAAAGUGAAACCCAUAAUGAAAAUGCAUGGUAAGGUAACAUAAGAAGUCACGGUAACAGGCAACUCUAGAAUUAAUUCAUAUGGAGAUGAUG